UACGUAGGUGGCAAGCGUUGUCCGGAUUUACUGGGCGUAAAGAGCGCGCAGGCGGUCGUUCAAGUCGCGUGUGAAAGCCCCCGGCUCAAUUGGGGAGGGUCACGCGAUACUGAUCGACUCGAAGGCAGGAGAGGGUAGUGGAAUUCCCGGUGUAGUGGUGAAAUGCGUAGAUAUCGGGAGGAACACCAGUGGCGAAGGCGACUACCUGGCCUGUUCUUGACGCUGAGGCGCGAAAGCUAGGGAGCAAACGGG
rnacentral:rRNA from 1 species